rnacentral:rRNA from 1 species
AACGAACGCUGGCGGCAGGCCUAACACAUGCAAGUCGAGCGAGGACUUCGGUCCUAGCGGCGGACGGGUGAGUAACGCGUGGGAACGUGCCCUUUGCUUCGGAAUAGCCCUGGGAAACUGGGGGUAAUACCGGAUGAGCCCUUUGGGGGAAAGAUUUAUCGGCGAAGGAUCGGCCCGCGUUGGAUUAGGUAGGUGGUGGGGUAAUGGCCUACCAAGCCGACGAUCCAUAGCUGGUUUGAGAGGAUGAGCAGCCACACUGGGACUGAGACACGGCCCAGACUACUACGGGAGGCAGCAGUGGGGAAUCUUAGACAAUGGGGGAAAUCCUGAUCUAGCCAUGCCGCGUGAGCGAUGAAGGCCUUAGGGUUGUAAAGCUCUUUCAGCUGGGAAGAUAAUGACGGUACCAGCAGAAGAAGCCCCGGCUAACUCCGUG